GAACCUUUGCAAUGCGCGAAAGCGUGACAGGGGAACUCCGAGUGGUAGAGGCAUAUUGCUCUCCUAGCCUUUUGGCCAAUCUAAAAAGUUGGCAGAAUAAGAUCUGGGUAAGACCAGUGCCAGCCGCCAUGGUAUGMUUUUARCACCAGCAUUGGCACGGUACGCGGUAAUACUGGCAGAACNAGUGGURUCCACGAAUAUUGGGUCUAAAGAGUCCGUAGCGGGUCGGYUAAGUCCACUGUGAAAUCCAACAGCUYAACUGUURGGCGUGCAGUGGAUACUGACWGGCUUGGGAGUGGGGGAGGUCAGGAGUACUUGUGGGGUARUGGUAAAAUACUGUAAUCCUACAAGGACUACCAGUGGCGAAGGCGCCUGACCAAAACACGUCCGACCGUGAGGGACGAAGGCUAGGAGAACGAAUCGGAUUAGAUACCCGAGUAGCCCUAGCAGUAAAUAAUGCAGACUGUGGUGUUGCCASGACUUCGCGUCGUGGCAGUGCUGUAGCGUAGGUGUUAAGUCUGCCACCUGGGAGUACCGCCGC
rnacentral:rRNA from 1 species